GAUGAACGCUGGCGGCGUGCCUAAUACAUGCAAGUCGAGCGAACGGACGAGAAGCUUGCUUCUCUGAUGUUAGCGGCGGACGGGUGAGUAACACGUGGAUAACCUACCUAUCAGACUGGGAUAACUUCGGGAAACCGGAGCUAAUACCGGAUGAUAUUUUGAACCGCAUGGUUCAAAAGUGAAAUACGGUCUUGCUGUCACUUAUAGAUGGAUCCGCGCUGCAUUAGCUAGUUGGUAAGGUAACGGCCUACCAAGGCAACGAUGCAUAGCCGACCUGAGAGGGUGAUCGGCCACACUAGAACGGAGACACGGUCCAUACUCCUACGGGAGGCAGCAGUAGGGAAUCUUCCGCAAUGGGCGAGAGCCUGACGGAGCAACGCCGCGUGAGUGAUGAAGGUCUUCGGAUCGUAAAACUCUGUUAUUAGGGAAAAACAUAUGUGUAAGUAACUGUGCACAUCUUGACGGUACCUAAUCAGAAAGCAACGGCUAACUACGUG
rnacentral:rRNA from 1 species